GCCGCCGCAGCCGCUGGGCGAACUCAAGCGCUUCUUCGAGGCCGCGGCGGGGAGCGGCUCCUCGGCGGGGGCGGGGGACGGCGCGGGCCCGCAGAGGCUGCCAGAGCCUGGGGGACGGCCGCGCUCGGCCGUGCAGGGCGGGUGCCGGGUGCUGGGCAGCGCCCCGCCGCCUUUCACUCCGUCACUGCUGGAGCAGGAGGUGCGCGCCGUGCGCGAGCGCGAGCAGGAACUGCAGCGCCAGCGGCGCAGCGUCUAUGGCACCGCGGAGUUCAAGGAGCCUACGCCGAGCCUCACCGGGGUGCGGCCGGCCUUUCAUCCUGGCUGCCGCCAGCUGGUGAGCUGAGCGCCCCUUCCCCCGCAGCGAGCAGGGGCGACGGAAAGUUGGUGGUGAUCUGGCCCCCCCGCAGAAAGGUCUCGGAGAACGGCCUGGAGCAGGAGGAGCGCAAACCUUGAGGUUUGAAAAGGCUGGGACCCCCGGCCGGAAGUAACGUACGCGUCAGAGGAACAGGGCGGGGGGCGUCUAGCAUUAGGCCUGGAGAAGGGUCGGCUCUCUGCAUUGGGGAAGAUGAAAUCGACUUGCCUUUGUGAAAUUGACCAGCCCCCUCUAUAAAACUUACAGUCCCCCAUUGGGAAACUGACCACCACCCACAACUCCGCCAGUGAAACUGCCCAGCCCUUCUCUGCCUAAUUGCAAACUGAACUACCCUC
rnacentral:lncRNA from 10 species